UCUGCUGGUGGUGAUCGUGCAAGGCCUGACCCAUCUGCUGGUGGACCUAAUCAACUCGUUUCCUUUGUACUCCAUCUUGCUCCGUCUCUGCCGGUCCUAUCGACUUGCAGGUGAAGUCCAGAGGCCUUGA